rnacentral:rRNA from 1 species
GACGAACGCUGGCGGCGUGCUUAACACAUGCAAGUCGAACGGAAAGGCCCUGCUUUUGUGGGGUGCUCGAGUGGCGAACGGGUGAGUAACACGUGAGUAACCUGCCCUUGACUUUGGGAUAACUUCAGGAAACUCGGGCUAAUACCGGAUAGGAGCUCCUGCUGCAUGGUGGGGGUUGGAAAGUUUCGGCGGUUGGGGAUGGACUCGCGGCUUAUCAGCUUGUUGGUGGGGUAGUGGCUUACCAAGGCUUUGACGGGUAGCCGGCCUGAGAGGGUGACCGGCCACAAUGGGACUGAGAUACGGCCCAGACUCCUACGGGAGGCAGCAGUGGGGAAUAUUGCACAAUGGGCGGAAGCCUGAUGCAGCAACGCCGCGUGCGGGAUGACGGCCUUCGGGUUGUAAACCGCUUUCGCCUGUGACGAAGCGUGAGUGACGGUAAUGGGUAAAGAAGCACCGGCUAACUACGUG